rnacentral:rRNA from 1 species
AUUGAACGCUGGCGGCAGGCCUAACACAUGCAAGUCGAACGGUAACAGGAAGAUGCUUCCUGCUUUGCUGGCCAGUGGCGGGCGUGUUAGUAAUGUCUGGGCCCCGGCCUGAUGGAGGGCGAUACCUACUGGAAACGGAUACCACUUCCGCCCAGCGUCGCAAGACGAAAAAGCGGGAGCUUCCGGCCUCUUGCCGUCGGCUAUGCCCAGGUCGGAUGUGGUUGUUGGUGGGGUAAACGCCCACCUAGGCGACGAGCUCUAGCUGGUCUGAGAGGAUGACCAGCCACACUGGGACUGAGACACGGCCCAGACUCCUACGGGAGGCAGCAGUGGGGAAUUUUGCACAAUGGGCGCAAGCCUGAUCCAGCCAUGCCGCGUGUGUGAAGAAGGCCUUCGGGUUGUAAAGCACUUUCAGCGGGGAGGAAGAGAAUAAAGUUAAUACCUCGGCUCAUUGACGUUACCCGCAGAAUAAGCACCGGCUAACUCCGUG